rnacentral:rRNA from 1 species
GCGCUAUCAGAUGAGCCUGCGUCCGAUUAGCUAGUUGGUAGGGUAAUGGCCUACCAAGGCGACGAUCGGUAGCUGGUCUGAGAGGACGGCCAGCCACACUGGGACUGAGACACGGCCCAG